rnacentral:ncRNA from 2 species
UGAGGCGUUGCGGGAGAGCGUUUUUCUAUCCCACCAGAUGUUAAAGCCGCCGAAGGAGCAACCGCCCCGGAAACUCUCAGGCCACUGGACCGCAACCGCUUC